rnacentral:rRNA from 1 species
UUGUGGCUAGGGGUGAAAUUCCAAUCGAACCCGGAGAUAGCUGGUUCUCCCCGAAAUAGCUUUAGGGCUAGCGUUGUGAGAAGAGUUAUACGAAGGUAGAGCACUGAAUGGGUGAGGGCCGCACCUCGCGGUACCAAUCUCAAUCAAACUCCGAAUGUCGUAUAAUAUGCGCAGCAGUAAGACUAUGGGUGAUAAGGUCCAUGGUCAAAAGGGAAACAGCCCAGACCGCCAGUUAAGGUCCCAAAAUUAUGCUAAGUGGGAAAGGAGGUGGAGUCGCUUAAACAACUAGGAGGUUGGCUCAGAAGCAGCCAUCCUUUAAAGAGUGCGUAACAGCUCACUAGUCGAAUGACUCUGCGCCGAUAAUUUACCGGGGCUAAGCAUACUACCGAAGCUAUGGAUCCCAAGGGAUGGUAGGGGAGCGUUCCAUGAACGGAGAAGUACGACCGAAAGGACGUGUGGAGAUCAUGGAAGAGAGAAUGCCGGUGUGAGUAGCGGAACGUGGGUGAGAAUCCCACGCACCGAAAACCCAAGGUUUCCAGAGGAAGGUUCGUCCGCUCUGGGUAAGUCGGGACCUAAGGCGAGGCCGAAAGGCGUAGUCGAUGGACAACAGGUAGAGAUUCCUGUACCCGUAUAUAUGUGAAGGAAUGACGGAGAGAGGAAGCUGCAGCCAGCGGCUGGAAGAGCUGGUGCAAGCGAGAUAUCGGGAUGGCAGGCAAAUCCACCAUCCGAAACGAGAAGGCGUGAAGCGUACGGAAAGCUACGGCGAGUACGGAAGGCAGUGGAGGAACUUCCAAGAAAAGUUUCUAACGUAAAGUAUAUAUGGCCCGUACCGAAAAUGGACACACAUGGGUGAGGAGAGAAUCCUAAGGUGAGCGAGAGAACUAUAGCUAAGGAACUCUGCAAAAUGACUCCGUAACUUAGGGAGAAGGAGUGCUCAUAGAGAUAUGAGCCGCAGUGAAACGGCCCAAGCGACUGUUUACCAAAAACACAGCUCUCUGCUAAGCCGCAAGGCGAAGUAUAGGGGGUGACGCCUGCCCGGUGCUGGAAGGUUAAGGGGAGGGGUUAACGCAAGUGAAGCCCUGAACUGAAGCCCCAGUAAACGGCGGCCGUAACUAUAACGGUCCUAAGGUAGCGAAAUUCCUUGUCAGGUAAGUUCUGACCCGCACGAAAGGCGUAACGAUUUGGGCGCUGUCUCAGCUGUAGACUCGGUGAAGUCUUAGUACCUGUGAAGAUGCAGGUUACCCGCGACUAGACGGAAAGACCCCAUGGAGCUUCACUGCAGGUUGAUAUUGGGAUUUGAUGCAGCAUGUACAGGAUAGGUAGGAGGCAAAGAGAUGGAUACGCCAGUAUUCAAGGAGCCGCUGUUGGGAUACUACCCCUGUUGUAUUGGAUUUCUAACCGGACGACGUAGA